GAUGAACGCUGGCGGCGUGCCUAAUACAUGCAAGUCGAACGAAAAGACGAGAACUUGCCCCCUUACUCGUUAGGGGCGGAGGGGUGAGAAACACGGGGAAACCCCCCUUAACACUCGGGGAAACCUUGGGGAAUCGGGCGCAAAUACGGGAUAACAUUUCUACCUGUAUGGUUUAGUGGAAAAGGACUCUUUUUCUGUUAAUUACGGAGGCUUCCGCCCCGCUUUAGCUGUUUGGUAAGGUCACGGCUACCCAAGGCACCGGUGCGGAGCCGACGUGAGGGGGGGGUCGGCCACCCGGGAGCUGGGACACGGUCCAGACGCCUGCGGGAGGCAGCAGUAGGGAAUCUUCCGCAAUGGGCGAAAGCCUGACGGAGCAACGCGGCGUGAGUGAUGAAGGUCUUGGGAUCGUAAAGCUCUGUUAUUGGGUAUGAACAAAUGUGUAAGGAACUAUGCACGUCUUGACGGUACCUAAACAGAAAGCCACGGCUAACUAUGUG
rnacentral:rRNA from 1 species